GCAGCAUCUGAGGAGCAGGAGAAUCGACAUUUUGGACAAGAACCCUUCAUCAGGAAUGAGGGUUUUGAGGACAUUACAUGCUGACCACUUCCUGAUGGACUUGUGGUCAAAUGUGUUUCCUUUUACAACUUUUUCCACAAAGGACAAGGGAUAAGAAUAAUCCAACAACUUGCAGUGUUCCAUGGCAAUAAAACCAGAUCCUUUGUAACACUGGGCUCAGGUAAAACAUCAGCGCGUAUUGAUACUUGGUGUUUGCAUAUCAAGGGCUUGAUACAGUCGCACUCAAAGGUGACCAUCACAAUGAAGGCAGCACUGGGUACUUUCUUCACCUCACCACCCCACCCCGCCACCAACAUGAGCAUUCCAAGUUCUCUAGAAUUUUGUACAUGGUGUCCUCACAGACAUGGUCCAUCUUUGACUUCCAGAUGAAGUGUAAGAUAACUUGGGUGACUGCAGUGGAACAAGCUUGGGGAAUGAGCCAGACCUGCACAUACAGGAACACCAAGAGUACUUUAUACCUGGUGACCAGGUUUUUACCUGUGAAGGUAAGGGAGCAGUGCUCCCAUUUGCCCAGUUUCUGCCUCAUCUUGGCAAUACCUGCUCUCAAGUUUUAGCCCACGUCCCCGCCCCUCUGAACCAUAUUCUCAGCACCUUCAGGUAAUCUGGCCUGACAGUGAAGGGAAGAAAGGAUCUAUUGUCCCAGUUCCCAAAGAACAUGGUCUUGUCUCAAUUUAGCUUGGCUCCCAAAACCAGUUUGAACUGGUCACAGAUGCUCAUGAGUCUCCAUACUGACAGUGGAUCCAAGCAGAAAACAGUGAUGUCAUCCAGAAGAUACUUUCUCGAUUUGAAUUUAGUAUUACAGACCCAGGAGACAUUCCAAAAGCUGCAAGAAUUUCCUCUAAAAUCCUUUCCUCAGUGGAGGUUACUGAAAAUCUGAUAGGGUUUUCAAGUAUUAGUACUGUUGUCUAUUUGGUAAAACCUGAAGAUGUGGACUAUGACAAAUUUCCAAAAUCUGAAAUCCAAGUGAAUUGCAAUCAGAAUAAGACAUUUUCUAACAAUCUAUGCCUGUCAACAAUUCAGCUUCAUUGACAGGGUUUCUUUUACACAAAUCUGCCUUUUUAAAAGAAAAUAAUCAUCUCUACAGAGUUUGUUUUUGUUCUGUGUUUGUGUCUCUAUGUGUGGGAUUAUGUGAAUGUACUUUUAAUUCCAAUUUAUGAUUAGAUUAGGUUAAAUUCCCUACAGUGGGGGAAAUAGGCCCAUCUGCCCAACAAGUCUACACCAACCC